UUCUGGCCUCAUACUAAAAACCUUUGCACUUUUUUAAGGACCUGCCAUAACUUGCUCGACUGGCAUAUACUUCAAGGACACAGGAUCACCUCCAUGCUAUAAAGAGUCAUCAGGGUAGGAUUUUCAAUUUAGAGCUGCUGAUGUCAUUUGCUGUUCUCCUGACUCCUGUUUGGCUGUUUUCUCUACUGUGUUUCACUCUCCCUAGCUGCUAACCUCGGCUGCUGUUUUUCCACUUAAUGCGCUUUCUAAGUAGCUUUUUCCCACGGAGGAGAUCUUAUAGAACUUUUAUUCCCACUCUCUUCACAGUCUUACUGUGGAAGUGAUCCUGAGGUCUUGAAGGUUGCACCAGGAGAGCUCAAGUUCUGGCUGGUCCUACCCAUCUGAAAAGGUUUCAGAUAUAGAACUGGAAACUGACAUGUUUGUUGCCUAAAAGCUAAUCCAGCUGAGUUUAGAGAGAUUUCUCAUCAGAAGGUUGGCCACCAGAGUCAUCUAAGUCCAGUGGCAAGACAAAACUCAGGAAGACUGGCAAUGGCCUGGGUUGCAGUGGAUGAACUUGGCCUACUCCAUGUCUGACCAUGUUCUAAGCACUUCAUAGCACCUGCUUCAGCCACCUUCAUGGCCACUGGAACAAAUUAUUCUUAUCUGCCCAUUGUACCUUAAGAAGUCUUCACAUGUUUGGGGUAGACAUCCCCCUAACUCACCAACAGGUUUGAAGUUGCUCAACAUUGUUUUGCCCAUCUGCCAAGACAGUUUUACUGGAGUUAGGCCAAUGCAAUCCUACAGAUUCUUGGAGCCACAGAGAUAUCCUUGCAUAGUGGAAAGAAUGCUGGCCUUGGACACAGGAAAACAUUGGUUUGAAUCCCUCAUCAGAGUCUUACUGUGGUAUGCUGUGCAUAUUGCUUACCCUCUCUUGAGUUCUUUGCCAAUAAAAUAAGGAUAAUAACAGCAGCUUCCUUACGGGAUUGUUGUGAAGAUCAAAUAAGUACGAAGAGGAUUUUGUAAAUCUUGAUGGGUUUUAUAAAUCUCAACAUUUGGGAGGCUCCAAAAUUGUGGGAGAGAAGAGCUAUUAAGUUAUCUACUAAACUGAAAGUCUACUGAGGAGCUUUCUAGAGCUGAACUGCCUGGUUUUCAAACUCUACUGCAGAGAGCUCAUCUUUGAAAGGCUGGCCUGAUUGUUCAAAUGCCAAAUGUAUGUUUGCCUAAAAGACUAAAUAAUGGAGAACUCACACAAGAAAUAUGGCUCCUAUUGGCAGAUAUUACAUUUUUGGCCAUAUGCUCUGGUAUUAGAUCUCUCUUCUCUUCUGAACUCCCGAUAUAAUGACUAAAUGGAGGAGGCUCUUUCAGAACUUAAACUGUAUUACAAAGCAAUGAUACUCAAAACUCUUUGUUACAUGUUAAAAAGAAAUGGGAAAGUGCCAUCAGUGGAACAAAUUUAAUGAGAAAGAAUCAGAAACAAAUUCAACAACCAAAGUUUCAUAAACUUUAAUACAUAAAUUAUUUGGGAAUAGCUUCCUGUUUGGCAAGAAAGCUUGCGAAAAAUAGAAAGCAACUUGGCAGAAAUUAGAUUUGGACCAGUUUCUUACAACGUAUACCACCAUAAGCUCCUAAGUAUAUUUGACCUGAUGUAAAAGACCACUCCAAUAUUGAAAAUAAAGUGAAUGAUAUGUUGGUAUUAAAAAUAUAAACCUUUAAUUCUGGGGGAAGCCUGACAUCUUUAAGUGCUUUUCUAUUUCCUUAAGGUAUUUGAGCAUACUUUAAUAAAAGCAAUAAUGGCUACAUUUCUAUAGCAGUUUAAGGUUGAUAACUAUGCUUCCUGUAUGUUAUCUUCAUAUGAUCCUCAUAGUAAACCUGUGAGGUAGGUGCUAUUAUUAAAACCUUCAUUU